rnacentral:rRNA from 1 species
AAAUUGAAGAGUUUGAUCAUGGCUCAGAUUGAACGCUGGCGGCAGGCCUAACACAUGCAAGUCGAACGGUAACAGAAAGCAGCUUGCUGCUUUGCUGACGAGUGGCGGACGGGUGAGUAAUGUCUGGGAAACUGCCCGAUGGAGGGGGAUAACUACUGGAAACGGUAGCUAAUACCG